UACGUAGGGGGCAAGCGUUGUCCGGAAUCAUUGGGCGUAAAGCGCAUGCAGGCGGCUUGGUAAGUCAUCGGUGAAAUCCCCCGGCUCAACCGGGGGGGGUCCGGCGAAACUGCCAGGCUUGAGGUCGGGAGGGGGAAGCGGAAUUCCGGGUGUAGUGGUGGAAUGCGUAGAUAUCCGGAGGAACACCAGUGGCGAAGGCGGCUUCCUGGCCCGAAUCUGACGCUGAGAUGCGAAAGCGUGGGGAGCGAUCCGG
rnacentral:rRNA from 1 species